AUCUUCCCUGCACUGCUCAGUUUUCCUGAGGUGCCAAGUGCUCCUCAUUUUUCUUGUGUCCUUCAAUUCCAAGUCCAUAUUUUCCCAAAAGCAAAAGAAUUCAGAAGUAACCACCCACAGCUAAGUAAGAGAUUUCACUAUUUAUUUCUGACUGUGGAAUUAUUUCAGUUCAGAAGUCACACUUAAUUUACAGUGCCUGUUUUACUUCUGACAAAGGUUGCAGUUGCAGCUGACUUCCCAAGCCUGCAGUACGUGGUGGUGGCACAGCCCUGGCCUUCUGCAUUUGUGCUAAUGCCACAUUUCCUUUCUCUGUCUUGCAGGUCAGCUGGUGCUAGAAGUGGACCGCAUCCCGGUGUGAAUGAAGGUCAGUGUAGGAGCAGCUGCUGAUUGGAGGAAGGAAGUGCAGGCUAAUGGACUCUGAUGCAUCUCCCGGUACGGUACCAGAGGACACAGUUGCAGAAGAUGCUGCAGAUGCUGGGGGGCAGUUGCAGAAGAACACGAGGAGCUCCCCAGCAGGAAGCCACAAACCCCGCAGAAAGCUGCAGGAGGCUCAGAGCACAUGUGGAUGCCCAGGAGGAAAUGCAGGCCCAGUGUUUGAGCAGUGCCUGGCCAUGGAGUGCUGUGGCUCAAGAACAAAGCUAUUCUGCAUUUGCCAAGAUGGCUUUCCAAGGUGGACUUGUCUGUCCUCACAAAAACCAGAGGGCUGACUCAUCUAAAUGCUUGCUGAUUGCUUGGAAGCCCAAAUACUUCCAGCCUUCAAUCUGGGGGCAGCCUGGAGGCAACAUCUCCUGGGUCUGAUGAUGCGGUGUGUGAAUGAGAGAUGACCCAGGCUGGUUACACAAGAGUCAUCUUAAUUUCUGUUUUGUUACUUCAGAUAAUACCAUUGGGUGGCCCUUGUUUUGUUUUCUUAAAAUUUGGUACCAGCCCUGGUGACUUUGGGCCAGAGCCCAGAAGGCUGGAUCCAGACCAGGGGCUUAAAGCCAUAGCCCCAGUUAGAGAGGCUGGCACACGCCCUGGAGCUUAAAGAUGCUGCCAGAGAAGCCAGGACUGGCCCUGGGGCCUAAAAACAGAGCCAGAGAGACUGGCCCUGGCCACCUGGACCUGAAGCCACAGCCUGAGUGGCCAGCACCGACCCUGGGGAUUAAAGCCCAGCCCCAGCCAGAGAGGCUGGUGCCAGCCCUGAAGUCUGAAGCUCCAGCCAGAGAGCCCAGCACCAGCCCUGGGCCAUAAUGCCACAGUUACAGCCACAGAGGCUGGCACCAGACCUGGGGCUUAAAGCCACAUCUACAGCCAAACAGGCUGGCACCGGCCAUGGAGCCUAAAGCCAAAUCCUGAAAAGUCGGCUCUGGCCCCGGAGCACACAGAUGUGCCUUCCUAUUGGUUUCUACUGAUUCCUAUAGGACUCCAUUGACCACUCUGAGGCCAUACUGGUCCUUACUGGUUUUUACUCAGCCAUACUGGACUACUCUGGUCCAUACUGAUGUGCACUCCUCCCAGUUCCUACUAGUUCCUCUGGUACUCCACUGACCACUACGAGGCCAUAUUGUGUUUUUAUUGGGCUGCACAAGAGUCAUCUUCAUUUCUCUGUUGCUUUACUUCAAUUAACCCCUAUUCAAUUAACCCCAUUCACCCCAUUGGGUGACCCUGGUGUUGGUUUCCUAAAAUUUGGAUCUAGGAGGUGACCAUUCCUUUGCUUAUGAUGAAAGCACAGAAGUGAUGCAGGCACUCGCUGAGGUCACAGUCGUUGCUGGGGUGGGAGCGUUUGUGCCACAGCUGGCGAGCAGAGCUCAUGCUCUCGUGAGCGUGCUGCACACGGAGACUGAGCUCUGUGCUUUUCUUGAGAGAGAUCGUUCUGUGAGAGCCCAUUGGAAGCACCACUGCAGUGUGUGUGUGAGCUGGGCACAGCACAGGCUGAGCAGGCUGACCAGGGACAAAACCUGUGCAUCUGUGGAAUGGUGUGGGGCAAGGAGGGAAAUGGAAAGCCUCCACAGCUGAUACAAGUGGCCUUCCUCUGAAGUGCAGCCAUGUGGAAAGCCAGGGGAGGAGCACGGAGAGUGGCACAGCACCCAAGAGAGCAGUGGUGACCAGCUCGGAUGUGCCGGAGGACAUCAUGGACAUCCAGGAUUUGCUCUCUUGGAUCAGUGAUGAGUUUGGGGGCUGCAGAGCUGCAGGUGGGUGUUUGCACAGAGUUGGUGUGGGAAGGCUAUCAUCGCCAUUUUGGGGGAUGUUCUUGCAUUUUCAGAUGUGGUAAGAGCUGUUGAGGUCCCCCAUGAGAACCCCAGCAGCCCUGCUCCAGGAUGCUUCAUCGCUGAGCUCCCUGACAACACCGGGGACAGCAGAGAGCUCAGCACACAGCCUGCCUCCGGGACACCCACCGACCCUUUCUGGGGGCUUCCACCAUCCCCUGGGUUCCUGCCUGAGCUGCAGUGUGGGUUGUCGUACCCACCUGUGAGUGCCUGGCUCAGUCCACAACCAACCACCUUGGCUAUUACCACACAUCCCUCAGCCCAAAGCACACAGCCCAUCGAGGAGGUGCAGCAAAGGGAGCCGCAGGUGGUUGAGUCUCACUCGCCCCUGUCAUCGGGCUCUGUCACCAGCCGGGUGGCAGAAAAGAACAACAGGGGCAGCACCAAGCGGGCCAAGCGCCCUGCACCUGAUGGCAUCCCCCAGAAAGGGGAGAGCUCCAAGCAGGAGCAGCCCACCACCAGCGCUCCAGCCAAGAAAAGGAAGCUGCCACCAUGCAGGGAAAGAAUGGAGAGAAAAGGCCGCAAACACCCGUGCCAAGCAAAGCUGUCUGGGGCCAGUGCAGGAGCCAGUAGCAGCAGGCAAGUGGGCACUGCCAGUGAGCUGCGCAUGCACUUGUGUAAAUCCAUCCAGGCCAUGCACCCUCUGGGGCAGAGGGUGACUGUGGUGGGCCCGGUGCGCCAGCCACCCUCUGUGCAGCCCCAACCCUCACCCAGUGCUAGCCCUGCUGCCCUCCAGCCCCAACACAGCAGCACAGACAAGGCAGUGCCAGCAUCUCCAGGCAGCACGGUGCAAGAGGAGGGCACUGCCGAGAAGAUGGCACCAAGCUGCCUGCGCCCAUCCCCGCUGAGGAGAUCACCGCUGCAGAGGGACCCACCAUCACUACCACCACCACCACCACCAGUGCUGCACCAGCAGCAGCCUCAGCCGCAGCGCCCCAUGGACUCUGUGCCCUGCGUGGGGCCACGGGCGGGUGGCGGUGCAGCACCCAUAGUGAUGGAGGAGUCACUGCCCAUCACAGCCAAGCUGCGGCCCGAACGGGAGCGCAUGAAGAAGCUGGCCCAGGAGGAGCGGCAGCAGGCGGCCCAGCAGAUGAAGAUCGGCCCCGUGCAGUUCCUGGUGCAGCGGGAGAUAGACAUGGCCAUAGCCAACCAGUACGGCUACCCGUAACCCUGCGCUCCUCGCCGGCCCUGCGGCACCAGGCAGCAGCGGCAGUGGUCCAGAGGCACCACCAGCAGCCCCAUCCCUCCCCUCCAGAACCCAGCCAUCCUCCAAAGUCAUCAUUGCAGCGCUGUGGAAUGUUGUCUGGGCAAUCAACUGUUGUGGGAUGGGAAUUUGGGGAUUUUUGUUGUUACUGUUACUCCUUGUUUUCUAUGAUACGUUAUUAAAAGCUUUGUGUUCCCUUUGCCACACCUCUGCCUGCAGUCAUU